rnacentral:rRNA from 1 species
CCUACGGGUGGCAGCAGUGAGGAAUAUUGGUCAAUGGGCUUACGCCUGAACCAGCCAAGUCGCGUGAGGGAAGACUGCCCUAUGGGUUGUAAACCUCUUUUGUCAGGGAGCAAAUGGCGCUACGUGUAGCGUAAUCGAGAGUACCUGAAGAAAAAGCACCGGCUAACUCCGUGCCAGCAGCCGCGGUAAUACGGAGGGUGCGAGCGUUAAUCGGAAUUACUGGGCGUAAAGCGCUCGUAGGCGGUAUGUCAAGUCGAGGGUGAAAUCCCCGCGCUCAACGUGGGAACUGCCUUUGAAACUGGGAAACUGGAGUGUGUGAGAGGGUAGUGGAAUUCCAGGUGUAGGAGUGAAAUCCGUAGAUAUCUGGAGGAACAUCAGUGGCGAAGGCGACUAUCUGGCACAUAACUGACGCUGAGGAGCGAAAGCGUGGGUAGCGAACGGGAUUAGAUACCCGAGUAGUC